AUUAGCUAGUGGGGGGGGUAAUGGCCUACCAAGGCGACGAUCGGUAGUUGUUCUGAGAGGAUGAUCACCCACACUGGGAUUGAGACACGCCCCAGACUCCUACGGGAGGCAGCAGUGGGGAAUUUUGGACAAUGGGCGCAAGCCUGAUCCAGCCAUGCCGCGUGAGUGAAGAAGGCCUUCGGGUUGUAAAGCUCUUUCGGCCGGAACGAAAUCGUCCGGGCUAUUACCCCGGAUGGAUGACGGUACCGGAAGAAGAAGCACCGGCUAACUACGUGCCAGCAGCCGCGGUAAUACGUAGGGUGCAGGCGUUAAUCGGAAUUACUGGGCGUAAAGCGUGCGCAGGCGGCUUCUCAAGUCAGAUGUGAAAUCCCCGGGCUUAACCUGGGAACUGCGUUUGAAACUGGGAGGCUAGAGUGCGGCAGAGGGGGGUGGAAUUCCACGUGUAGCAGUGAAAUGCGUAGAUAUGUGGAGGAACACCGAUGGCGAAGGCAGCCCCCUGGGCCUGCACUGACGCUCAUGCACGAAAGCGUGGGGAGCAAACAGGAUUAGAUACCCUGGUAGUCCACGCCCU
rnacentral:rRNA from 1 species